rnacentral:tRNA from 1 species
GGGAAGGUGGCUCAGUGGUAGAGUGAUUGCCUUGCAUGCAUGAGGCCCUGGGUUCGAUUCCUCAG